rnacentral:lncRNA from 1 species
AAAUUCUAUUAUGACUCUGUUUGGUAAAAAUAGUGGUUGACUGAUAAGCUAGCUUAUAGCUGAUGGUUGAUGGUUGAUGACUGAUAGCUUAUAGUUUAUAGCCGAUGAUUGAUGACUGAUAGUUGAUAAGCUAAUUGAAGUGUUUGGUAAAAUUAAUGGUUAACUAACUUAUAAAUGUAAAAUGACAUAAACGAUAUUUAAUACAUAUACUUAUUUUAUUUUAAAUUAAAUUAAAUUAUAAAGGAUAAAAUAGGGUUUU